rnacentral:rRNA from 1 species
AGCGAACGCUGGCGGUAGGCCUAACACAUGCAAGUCGAACGAAGUCUUCGGACUUAGUGGCGGACGGGUGAGUAACACGUGGGAACGUGCCUUUAGGUUCGGAAUAACUCAGGGAAACUUGUGCUAAUACCGAAUGUGCCCUUCGGGGGAAAGAUUUAUCGCCUUUAGAGCGGCCCGCGUCUGAUUAGCUAGUUGGUGAGGUAAAGGCUCACCAAGGCUACGAUCAGUAGCUGGUCUGAGAGGAUGACCAGCCACAUUGGGACUGAGACACGGCCCAAACUCCUACGGGAGGCAGCAGUGGGGAAUCUUGCGCAAUGGGCGAAAGCCUGACGCAGCCAUGCCGCGUGGAUGAUGAAGGUCUUAGGAUUGUAAAAUCCUUUCACCGGUGAAGAUAAUGACUGUAGCCGGAGAAGAAGCCCCGGCUAACUUCGUGCCAGCCGCCGCUGUAAGAC